GUGGGGAAUAUUGGGCAAUGGGGGCAACCCUGACCCAGCGACGCCGCGUGAAGGAAGAAGGCCCUCGGGUUGUAAACUUCUUUUAAGAGGGACGAAAGAAAUGACGGUACCUCUUGAAUAAGCCACGGCUAACUACGUGCCAGCAGCCGCGGUAAUACGUAGGUGGCGAGCGUUAUCCGGAUUUACUGGGUGUAAAGGGCGUGUAGGCGGGAGUGCAAGUCAGAUGUGAAAAUUAUGGGCUCAACCCAUAACCUGCAUUUGAAACUGUUCUACUUGAGUGAUGGAGAGGCAGGCGGAAUUCCGUGUGUAGCGGUGAAAUGCGUAGAUAUACGGAGGAACACCAGUGGCGAAGGCGACCUGCUGGACAUUAACUGACGCUGAGGCGCGAAAGCGUGGGGAGCAAACAGGAUUAGAAACCCGGGUAGUCC
rnacentral:rRNA from 1 species